UACGUAGGGAGCAAGCGUUGUUCGGAUUUACUGGGCGUAAAGGGCGCGUAGGCGGCAACUCAAGUCAGCUGUGAAAUCUCCGAGCUUAACUCGGAACGGUCAGCUGAUACUGUUUUGCUAGAGUGCAGAAGGGGCAAUCGGAAUUCUUGGUGUAGCGGUGAAAUGCGUAGAUAUCAAGAGGAACACCUGAGGUGAAGACGGGUUGCUAGGCUGACACUGACGCUGAGGCGCGAAAGCCAGGGGAGCGAACGGG
rnacentral:rRNA from 1 species